rnacentral:rRNA from 1 species
CAAUAGCGUAUAUUAAAGUUGUUGCGGUUAAAAAGCUCGUAGUUGGAUUUCUGCUGAGAACGACCGGUCCGCCCUUUGGGUGUGUAUCUGGCUCUUUCUUGGCAUCUUCUUGGUGAACGUUGCUGCACUUGACUGUGUGGAGCGCUACCCAGGACUUUUACUUUGAGGAAAUUAGAGUGUUUCAAGCAGGCAUACGCCUUGAAUACAUUAGCAUGGAAUAAUAAGAUAGGACCUCGGUUCUAUUUUGUUGGUUUCUAGAGCUGAGGUAAUGAUUAAUAGGGAUAGUUGGGGGCAUUCGUAUUUAACUGUCAGAGGUGAAAUUCUUGGAUUUGUUAAAGACGGACUACUGCGAANGNAUUUGCNAAGGAUGUUUNCAUUG